rnacentral:ncRNA from 1 species
GAAAGAGGUCGCAGUUUUUAUUAGUAAGUAUCAGUUAAUCAGAUUAUCGCUGAUACAUGAAAGGAAAAACUGCCGAAAUGUAGAAAAAAUAUCUGAGUUUUUCUAUGUUGGGGUACUAUAGAAUAUAUAGUAAACUGUCACAAUACAAUGUGAAGCGCUU